rnacentral:rRNA from 1 species
UGCAAGUCGAGCGGAGAUUGCAUUUAUGUAAUCUUAGCGGCGGACGGGUGAGUAACGCGUAGGCAACCUGCCUUGCACAGAGGGAUAACACUGGGAAACUGGUGCUAAUACCACAUAAAAUCAUAACAAGGCAUCUUGAAAUGAUCAAAGGAGAAAUCCGGUGCAAGAUGGGCCUGCGUCCGAUUAGCUAGUUGGUGAGGUAACGGCUCACCAAGGCGACGAUCGGUAGCCGAACUGAGAGGUUGAUCGGCCACAUUGGGACUGAGACACGGCCCAGACUCCUACGGGAGGCAGCAGUGGGGAAUAUUGCGCAAUGGGGGAAACCCUGACGCAGCAACGCCGCGUGAAGGAAGAAGGCCUUCGGGUUGUAAACUUUUUUGAUUGGGGAAGAAAAAAAUGACGGUACCCAAGGAACAAGCCACGGCUAACUACGUGCCAGCAGCCGCGGUAAUACGUAGGUGGCGAGCGUUGUCCGGAAUUACUGGGUGUAAAGGGCGUGUAGGCGGGAUUGUAAGUCAGAUGUGAAAUUCCAGGGCUUAACUCUGGAGGUGCAUCUGAAACUAUAAUUCUUGAGUGCUGGAGAGGAAAGCGGAAUUCCUAGUGUAGCGGUGAAAUGCGUAGAUAUUAGGAAGAACACCAGUGGCGAAGGCGGCUUUCUGGACAGUAACUGACGCUGAGGCGCGAAAGCGUGGGGAGCAAACAGGAUUAGAUACCCUGGUAGUCCACGCUGUAAACGAUGGAUACUAGGUGUAGGAGGUAUCGACCCCUUCUGUGCCGGAGUUAACACAAUAAGUAUCCCACCUGGGGAGUACGGGCGCAAGGCUGAAACUCAAAGGAAUUGACGGGGGCCCGCACAAGCUGUGGAAUAUGUGGUUAAAUUCGAAGCCACGCGGAGCACCUUACCAGGGCUUGACAUCCCUCGUAUAAUAUAGAGAUAUGAUAGUCCUUCGGGACGAGGAGACAGGUGGUACUAUGGUUGUCCGUCAGCUCGUCUCGUGAGAUUUUGGGAUAAGUCCCGCAGCGAGCGCAACCCAUAUUGUUAGCUGCUAUCAUUAAGUUGCACACUCUAGCGAGACUGCGCGGUGACAUAUCGGAGGAAGUGUGGGGACAGACGUCAAAUCAUAAGGCCCCUAAUGUCUUGGGCUACACACGUACUACAAUGGUCACUACAAAGGGAAGCAAUCCCGCAAGGAGGAGCAAAUCCCCAAAAGUGAUCUCAGUUCGGAUUGUGGGCUGA